UUUUGUUUAGCAGGUGUAUUUUAUGAAUAAUAUUUGCCCUAACAUUUAUUUGAUGUUAGAUUUCCCCUCAGUUUUAUAUUUGAAACUUCUAUGUUAAUGGUGUUUUGCCUGCAUGGUUAUCUGUGUGCACCAUGUGCUUGCCUGGUGCAGGCCAGGAAAGGGUAUUGAAUUCCCUGAAAAUGGAGUGAUAGAAGUUAAUGAGCUGCCGUGUUGAUGCUGGAAAUCCAAUCUGCGUCCUUUGGAAGAACAGCCACUGUCCUAACUACUGACCCAUCUCUUCAGCCCCUCUCUUAAUUUUGUGUUUAAGAAACUAUAGCCUCAGCCAAGUGUGAUGGCACACACCUUUAAUCCCAGCACUCAGGGAGGCAGAGGCAGGCAGAUCUCUGUGAGUUUGAGGCCAGCCUGGUCUUGUAGCACAUUCAAGGUCUAUGUAGUAAGUUUAAGUCCAGAGCUACACAGUAUGACUCUGUCUCAGAAGGAGAUUGGAUGCUAUUGAUGGGGUGUGUGUUGGGGGAGUGGAACACAACAGGACUGAGAAGAAAGGCGAGGGGUACAGAUAUGUGCAUUCAUUUACAAUAGCACUUCUCAACAUGUGGGUCUCCCUUGUGGGUGGACCGAUCCUUUCACAGGGUCGCCUAAGGCCGUCGGAAAACACCUAUUUCCUGUGGUCUUAGGAACUGAGAUACACUCCUCUAUCCAUCUCCAGGCAGGUCGGCCCACAUACGAGUACCCGGUGCGAGGGCAUCAUCGGGCCAACCCCAUCAUGUACAUGCAGAUAGAGGUGUGUGUGGUAGGGUUGGCGCCUUGUUGUACUUAUGCGGCCAGUCACACACGUGCAGAGAACAGCUACUGUGCUGAAAGCAGCGGUAUUGGAGAUUCAGCUGUGGUUGACGUGAAUACUGCCCCCUUGUGACAGCAACAGGUAUGGUAAAAAACAAAACAAUGGUAAAUCCUAGGAAACUUGAUGAAUUGUGUUGACCAAACUAUGCCAUUUAUCUUUUGUGUUAGUAAAGCUAUUGUGAUAUCUUAUUUUCAUUAGAAAACUGUCCCAUGACAAUGGAUCACAUAAAGAAAAACAUUAAGAAAAUACAGCGAGGAUUUUUUACUGUAUGGUUUUACUUUAAUAAUUACAACAGGAGUUGAAAAACUACAUGUUAUUUGUUGUGAAAUUCUAUCAGCAGAAUCUAUGAAACCAAACAAACUAAAAUGCCAUUUUGAUAGCAAGCAUUGGAGCUUUGCCAACAGGGGUACCAACUAUUUUAGAAGGAAAGCAGAUGGACUCUAGAAAGCCUUAUCUAGCCAGGCAGUGGCGGCACACACCUGCAAGCCCAGUACUCAGGAGGUAGAGGCAGGUCUAUGUGAGCUUGAGGCCAGCCUGGUCUACACAGAGCUCUAGUGCUAGGACAGCCAAAGCUAUACAAACUGUCUCAAAAAGAAAAUUCAUAUUUGGUGGCACUCAGAAUUGCCAGAGCGAUGAAACAAACCUCAUAUCUUUGCUCACAUCUUUGCGGAUUUCCUGUUGCCAUUGUUGGAGUUAUGAUCAGAGUAGAAUUUGUCACACAGUCGAGUGCAGUACCUUUAUCUAAUGACACUGUCCAUGGAAGAAUAGAUGACCUGGCUGCUGUUAUUCUUGAUCAGGUAGCCCAGGAAAUGAGAUCUGCUCCACUUCCAGCACUUGAGCUUGUUGACGCUACAGACGUUGUAGUUCACAGUUACUGGUUUACAUGGUUAUUGAUGAUGGCGACUUUACAGAUAAACAACACCUAUUGCACACGGUGUGUUUGACACAGUUGAUUCGUUUCUGAAAGCGUGUAAGAUCUCUUGGGAAAUGUUUGUGGUGUUUGCACACAAGGUGCUGCAACUGUGCUAGGAUGUCCAUCUGGAUUUCCCAGUGAGUGAGUCACCAAAAGUCAUCAGAACUCACUGAUUCAUCAGCAGUUCUAGCAGCGAAGAUGCUGCCGUGGGAGUUCCCAGAGGAGAAGUGUCUUUAGGUCUGUCAGUUUUGUAAACAGUUUUAUAAAAGUCGACUGUUUUCUCAGCUGCAAAAGUUAGAUACACUUGGACAAAGCUCUGAUAGUUCAUACUGAAGUGACAUGGCUAUUGAGAGGAAAAGUUUUUGAGCUUUAUGAUAAACUCAGGAUGUUUUUAAAUCAGAAAACAAAACUACAGUUCGAAGCACUUUUCAGCAGUAGUAGUGAAUUGCAGAAAAAUAGCUUACUGGGUUAACAUCUUUGCCAUCUUGAAUGUGUUAAAUUUAUCACUGAUGCAAGGACUAAAUGCAGCAUGCCUUGAUUUGUCUGAAAAGAUCUAAUCGUUCCAAAUGAAAUUUUAGCUUUAGCAAAAAAAAAAAAAAAAAAAAGGAUAAAAAGAAAA